GAGGGGAGGCGGCGGCUGGGGUUUCGUUCGACGCCCACCAGGGGCUGAGCGAGCCUCCUUCAGUGCGCAAACUCGGGGCACCAGAUAAAAGCUGGGCUGGCAGCUCUUACCUUGCCUCGAUGGAGCCGCCACAAUCGGGUGACUGGAGGAGCAGUUAGCAGCAGCGCCAUAGACUAGCGUCCCCCCACACCCUGAGCAGAGAGAGUUUGGGGCUCUAAACAGCUGCUGCUGCGGCAGGAGGGAGCCGAGGGUGCUUGCCUGGGGCUGCUCGCUCGGGUUCUGCCUGUUGUUGCGCGAAAUGGCGGCUGGCGUCUUGCGCCGGGGCUGUGAGGAGAGGAGCGGGGGAAGAGUGAGAGAGGAGCAACUCGUGCCUGCUUUUGUAACUGCGUCAGUACAAGAUGGCGCAGGGUCUCCCUGGAGAGGGAAGGGAGUUGCACGUCCGCCGGAGGUCAUGUGACCGUGUUGCAUUCUUGUGGGGUUUGGCUGCAGACCAAGCUGGCUGAGGCGGCGGCGGCAGCCCGGGAGAGUCCGUGCUUCCCUCCCCCUCCCCGCACAAUGCCGUCGGUGCCGCGUUGGUUCCCAUUUCCCUUCCCCCAUUAGCCUUGUGCACGAGGGUGUAGCUGCCGCUGAGGAAGGUUCUCGCUUCUCUCCUUAUUCUCCACCCAUCUCCAGGGUGUAGCUGCUCUUGGGGGGAAGCUUUCCAUUCCGCCCCCUCUCUGCGUAAGGCUUUACCCACCGCAAGGGAAAGUUCCCCCUCGGCGCCUACUCACUCCGCCCGAGUGUGGGAGCAGGCGGUGCGCGGCUCCUGCGCUGGGCCUUCCAGCUGCCGGGUGUACUAACGCAAAUGCCACCCGCUCUCGGUCGGCUUCCCCUUCUCGUGUACGAGAGCACUUUUAUCUGUAAGUUAGGUUCCCCGGAAUCAUAGAAUGGUUCUUACUGAGUAACUUGCUGAAAAAGUCGGUUUGAGCGAUGUUUAAAUGAUCUCAUUAAAACAGCUGAGGAAAAUGUACAGGCUAUGCCGAGUUGUUCUUCUGACGAGGAGGUCGUCGCAUUUCCAGCGUUGCUUUGCCGGGGGUACGGCGGGGGGCCUAUGGAAAAAUCUGCAAGCUAUUAAUGACUUUAUUUUAUUUGAAGAGAAUUUCGUUAUGGAAAAACGGAUCGAUAUUCUUUUAUUUGUAUGUUGUUGGAUCCUGUUGUAGGAGUUGAGCAGCUUUUCUAUGGGGUAAUGUGGUGUGUAUUACAAAGUUAGGCCACAGAUGGCCUGCAUCUUUAACACAGGGAUUUAAGUAUAUACUUAGUGCAAAUGAAAACUAUGGUAUGCAAAUAUCGUGAAGAUGCCCCGUGUCUGUCUUUCUGAGGUUCAUAGGAAAAUGAACUUGUCACACAGGUCUGGGUAGGCUUGGAAGCUUGGCAAAUAUAUUUUCUGGGUCUCUUUUAAUUUCAAUAUUCUGAUGGGGGGAAGUGAAAAAUGUAUGUUUUCCAAUCCUAACACUUUUAUUUAAGGAAUGCAACUCGUGUUACUGUUUGGGUGGGGUUCUCAUGUUUUCAGAGCAAUUCGGUGCUAGUUCCCAUGUCUUGUUCUUGUAUGGCAGGGUGUAAGUUUAGCCUCUGCAUCUAACCCAACGAACAAAUUAACAGUUAAAAUUGCUGAUGCUUUAAGGGUGGUCGUUUGUUCCAUUUAGAAAUGUUUCAUAGCACUACUUCUGUUCUCAGUCUGUCCCCAGAUAGAUGUGAAUCUUUUUUUUUUCUUUUUUCCUCCACAGUAGUAAUCUGGUGGGGGAUAAAGCUUGAAUAUUUGGUGAAUGUGUUGUAUGAGAACUACUGGAAUGAAAGUAGCUGAGUAUAUGACUAAUAUAGAAGACUCCUAUAUAAUAGACGCUACUUAAUACGUGUUACAUAAAUAAUAUGGUGAGGUGGAGUCUAGUUACAUAAGAACUGACUGGGAACUUGGGAGCUACUGUAAGUAGUCCAUAUGAGUUGCAGAUACAGCCUGUAGGGCUUCUGUGUGUUGUUGGAGGAGGGGUAGAAGAACAGGAUUGGAAGCAUCUAAUAGUGCUACAUUUUUCCUUUGUAGGUCAUAUAAAGGAUACCGGGAAAGAAAUGGAGGAGACGGUAAUUAAGGAUGACACAGUGUGAAGCUCUCGAAAGUUUGAAGUCUCAUUUGAGCUUUUAGGAUAUAAGCUCUGCUUCCUAAAAGAACAGCCCCCCCUUUUUUUGAGCGUCAGGUGGUGGCUCUUGGCAGAGCAUUGCACCAACUAAUUUUGUUCUGUGCAGACUAAAGAGCAGGAUUCUUAAGUCCUAGAGGUUGAUAGGCACUU